GGGUGCUGACUUGGAUCAUUUAACAGGAGUGAUUUUGUGGACAUCACUCACUGAAAUUCUCAUUAGACAGAAGCACUCCAUAAGUUUCUGACAAAAGUGAAGCCUACAGGAUGUCCUGCCUGUGGAUAAGUCUGCUCUGUGCUGCUUUGUUUCUACAAGGCAGUGCAUCAUCAAAGACAAGAGCGACUAAUCAAGGAGUGUCACUGAACUGUACAGUUUCCUAUGCAGCAAACGUGACAGUGGACUGCACUAUAAAUACAUUGGAAAAGAACUGUCAUUGUAAGGAGUAUAUCUGGGAAAACUCAACUAGUGGCAAUGUCACACUUCACCAUAAGUGUGAAUCUGAUAACCUGACUUACGUGUCAUUGACAAUUCCAUCAAAUCCCUUCAAAGAGGAAAUUUACACUGUGGAAAUAGAGACAAGCUGUGGUAUGGCUGAAGAAUCUGUCACAGUUGAGGCCUUCCGCAGCCCACCUCCUGAAUCCACACCUCCUGAAUCCAAACCACGAUACACUGUGACAAUUAUCCUAUUGAGCAUUUUUGCCAUCCUCGUUGUUUUUGGAAGUUUGUAUUUCCUGUUCAGGACUGACAGAGGGUUUAAUCAAUAUGCCAAGGGAUUACAUACUAAAGAAGACGCUUUGACCAAUUCUGAAACUUGUGCGUUAUACGUGUGAGUGUAUGUGUGUGUGUGUGUGUGUGUGUGUGUGUGUGUGUGUGUGUGCUUGCAUGUGUGCAGGCACGGGUGUGUAUAUAUUUCUUCUUCUUCCUGACUGUGUAGCAUACUGCUUUUUUUUUUUCCAUAAUCUUUGUACAUCAAUAUUAUGAUUCAGUUUUAUUUUUGAAGAGCACUGUGUGGGUCCAUACCCUAGAUUUUAUGGAAAGGCUGUUACAAGCUAUUGGCAUGUUGUGAAAAUCAUGAGCAUUUCUCAGGCAGAAAAAGUCUAACAUGCCUAACACUUUCAAGAAGUCACUUGGAAGUCUACAGAGUUUCUGUCAUUCUAUGGUGAAAACAAGCUAAGUGGGAAUCAAACGUCAAUGUGAUACUGUAUACUGUCAAAGGAAUGAUUCAUAUGAUACCAUGUAUAUACUUACCCUGUGGAUUAUGAUGCAUGUUUAUGUGGAACACUUAUGUGUGAUGGAACAUCUUUUUGAAUAAAGUUUUGUCAGUGACAAAA